UUCCGUUUGCUCCUUGUCCUCUCCAUCUGAGUGGUCUGACUCGAGCUUCAGUGCAAGUGCAUCAACUAUACUUCUAGAUGAGGUCCCUAGGAAGAAAUCAAGAAUUGAAGGCACAAUUAAUGCAGCAUCUGCUAAAAAGUUGAUCGAAGCUGUCCUUGGAACCAGUUCAGGUGGUGAAGAGGUCCUCAAAGAAUAUCACACAACACAAACUCUUACAGAUGCUACCAGAAGAAAACUGGUUAAUAUAAUAGUGGCCCACAUGAUUGAUAAACACGGGUAAAUGUGUUGUAUUUGUGUACACUCUUUCAAAAAAAAAAAGAAAAACAAGUAACUCCUUAGCCAUUACAUAAAAAAUGCCAAUUUAAUCUCUCUUCUCAGGCACCUCCCCACCGAAGCUAUUAGAGAAGAGUACGCUCUUGGGAUAGUGACAGUGUUCCCAUCCCUCAAAGACCCACACUCCAAGAAAGGCUACGAACACUUCUAUGAUGCUGCAAGCAGCACAGGAUACAUUUCUUAGCGUCUGAAGACAAUCCAGAGAAAGAUUCGACGAGGAUCUGCACCUCCAAAUAGCUGCACUGGCUUUUCUCGAGGAGGAGGGGGCCCUAAUUUCCAAAGAUCCAUUGUUGUUGAGAAGCAGCUUGACGGAGAUGCUUGCCAGGAGGCCAUCUCUUUGCUCAACCAUACAACAGACACUUCCAUAAUUCUCCAAAAGAUGAGAGAGACCUUUCAGUAUCGUCAGAACCUUAUCAAUGACCCUGACAAAAGUCUUGAUAUCCUGUCCAUCUUCCCAAGAUUCAUGGAUA